rnacentral:rRNA from 1 species
UACAGGGGGGGCAAGCGUUGUUCGGAAUUACUGGGCGUAAAGGGCUCGUAGGUGGCCGACUAAGUCAGACGUGAAAUCCCUCAGCUUAACUGGGGAACUGCGUCUGAUACUGGAUGGCUUGAGUUUGGGAGAGGGAUGCGGAAUUCCAGGUGUAGCGGUGAAAUGCGUAGAUAUCUGGAGGAACACCGGUGGCGAAGGCGGCAUCCUGGACGGUAACUGACGCUGAGACGCGAAAGCGUGGGGAGCAAACAGG